AACGAACGCUGGCGGCAGGCUUAACACAUGCAAGUCGAACGCCCCGCAAGGGGAGUGGCCGACGGGUGAGUAACGCGUGGGAACAUACCCUUUCCUGCGGAAUAGCUCCGGGAAACUGGAAUUAAUACCGCAUACGCCCUACGGGGGAAAGAUUUAUCGGGGAAGGAUUGGCCCGCGUUGGAUUAGCUAGUUGGUGGGGUAAAGGCCUACCAAGGCGACGAUCCAUAGCUGGUCUGAGAGGAUGAUCAGCCACAUUGGGACUGAGACACGGCCCAAACUCCUACGGGAGGCAGCAGUGGGGAAUAUUGGACAAUGGGCGCAAGCCUGAUCCAGCCAUGCCGCGUGAGUGAUGAAGGCCUUAGGGUUGUAAAGCUCUUUCACCGAUGAAGAUAAUGACGGUAGUCGGAGAAGAAGCCCCGGCGAACUUCGU
rnacentral:rRNA from 1 species